GGAAAAGAAAUUAACAAAGAUUCCCUCAGUAACGGCGAGUGAAGUGGGAAGUAGCCCAGCACUGAAUCCUCGCGGCUCCUGUGCCGCGCGGACCUGUAGUGUUUGGGGCCCCGGCUUUCGUCCAGUGCUCACGCGCCUCAGUCGCAUUGAAGGGGCUCUCGCUCCACAGCGGGUGUCAGGCCCUUGUGGCUGCGUGGCCGGACGAAGGUUCCAGGGGACCCUCGAGUCGGGUUGUUUGAGAUUGCAGCCCAAAGACGGUGGUAAGCACCAUCGAAGGCUAAAUAUGUCCACGAGUCCGACAGCGAACAAGUACCGUGAGGGAACGUUGAAAAGGACUUCUGAGUGAGAGUUCAAAGUACGUGAAACUGCCUAAAGGGAAACGAGUGGCUCCGCAUAGUCGGCCAGUGGUGUUCACCUCGAGUUGAGCGCGUGCCAGACUUCCGCUGGAAUUCGUCGGUCGAGGGUCGCAAGAUCUUCGGCGUCUGUGAGUCCGCGGUGUGUCUCGGUCGCGAACCUCGGGUGCAUUCGCCGCCAGGCAGGGCGUCACGAUCGCUUUCGAGCGAGUCUACGUCGGCGAUGCCGGCGCGCUUGGCUUUCGCCCCUUGUCCGGGUGUUCGCUCUGUGCGCGGCGCGUCUUCGAGCUCGUACGUGAGCGUGUAACGAUCCUCGCGCUUUCAGAGGCAGACAGACCGCGCAGUCUAUCGGUGAGCCUUCGGGUGGUACCCUCACGGGUGCUCCCGUCGAGGCUCCUGCGGACAGCGCCGGUCAGCCUCGCGCGAGUUUGGAUCGGUGGCGAAUGAGUCGGCCUG
rnacentral:rRNA from 1 species